UGGGGAAUUUUGGACAAUGGGGGAAACCCUGAUCCAGCCAUCCCGCGUGUGCGAUGAAGGCCUUCGGGUUGUAAAGCACUCUUGGCAGGAAAGAAACGUCAUGGGUUAAUACCCCGUGAAACUGACGGUACCUGCAGAAUAAGCACCGGCUAACUACGUGCCAGCAGCCGCGGUAAUACGUAGGGUGCAAGCGUUAAUCGGAAUUACUGGGCGUAAAGCGUGCGCGGGCGGUUCGGAAAGAAAGAUGUGAAAUCCCAGAGCUCAACUUUGGAGCUGCAUUUUUAACUACCGGGCUAGAGUGUGUGAGAGGGAGGUGAAAUUCCGCGUGUAGCAGUGAAAUGCGUAGAUAUGCGGGAAAACACCGAUGGCGAAGGCAGCCUCCUGAGAUAACACUGACGCUCAUGCACGAAAGCGUGGGGAGCAAACAGG
rnacentral:rRNA from 1 species